AUUGAACGCUGGCGGCAGGCCUAACACAUGCAAGUCGAGCGAGCGGCGGACGGGUGAGUAAUGUCUGGGACACUGCCUGAUGGAGGGGGAUAACUACUGGAAACGGUAGCUAAUACCGCAUACGAUCAGAUGUGCCCAGAUGGGAUUAGCUAGUCGGUGGGGUAACGGCGCACCUAGGCGACGAUCCCUAGCUGCUCUGAGAGGGUGACCAGCCACACUGGAACUGAGACACGGUCCAGACUCCUACGGGAGGCAGCAUUGGGGAAUAUUGGACAAUGGGCGCAAGCCUGAUGCAGCCAUGCCGCGUGUAUGAAGAAGGCCUUCGGGUUGUAAAGUACUUUCAUCGGGGAGGCGUUACCCGCACAAGAAGCCCCGGCUAACUCCGUGCCAGCAGCCGCGGUAAUAC
rnacentral:rRNA from 1 species